rnacentral:rRNA from 1 species
GAUGAACGCUGGCGGCGUGCCUAAUACAUGCAAGUCGAGCGAACGGACGAGAAGCUUGCUUCUCUGAUGUUAGCGGCGGACGGGUGAGUAACACGUGGAUAACCUACCUAUAAGACUGGGAUAACUUCGGGAAACCGGAGCUAAUACCGGAUAAUAUUUUGAACCGCAUGGUUCAAAAGUGAAAGACGGUCUUGCUGUCACUUAUAGAUGGAUCCGCGCUGCAUUAGCUAGUUGGUAAGGUAACGGCUUACCAAGGCAACGAUGCAUAGCCGACCUGAGAGGGUGAUCGGCCACACUGGAACUGAGACACGGUGCAGACUCCUACGGGAGGCAGCAGUAGGGAAUCUUCCGCAGUGGGCGAAAGCCUGACGGAGCAACGCCGCGUGAGUGAUGAAGGUCUUCGGAUCGUAAAACUCUGUUAUUAGGGAAGAACAGAUGUGUAAGUAACUGUGCACAUCUUGACGGUACCUAAUCAGAAAGCCACGGCUAACUACGUG